GUUGUGCCCCGGGUUGCAAAAACAAAUAACAUUAGAGUUUGUAAUGCACAUUUUGUUCUAGGAAAAUCUUUUUAGUACACUGGAGAAACACACCCAGACUGGGCCCCAUCCCUGAAUCUUGACAAAGUGUAUGUUAACGCUAAGUCAGCCAUGGAUAGAGAGUCAAGAAUAGUAAUUUUAAAUGUUCAAGAGGUCUCAAGGCCCUUGUAAGCCUUUAAAUCUUCAUGCGUGUAUGGAGACUUGGAACAUAGCAGGUAAUUUACCAAAUCAAGAUUGGUUACCAGUGGCAUUUUUCCUGC